GUAGGUAGGCCCNCCAAACCUUCGAUGGAUAGGGGUUCUGAGAGGAAGGUCCCCCACAUUGGAACUGAGACACGGUCCAAACUCCUACGGGAGGCAGCAUG
rnacentral:rRNA from 1 species